CCGCCGCGGAGUUGUUCGGAGCCAUUUUGGUCCCACCUCAAUCUCACCGACAUGGACCGAACCGAGCCCGCGCCGAGGCUUCAUUCCGGCGAGCCCCUUUGAAACGCCACGUGACCACUUCGGAGGCCAGGCUUCGUCGUUGCUAGGCGGACUCGAGGGCGAAAAAAAGACCGGCCUGAUAUCUAUCUAUCUAUCUAUCUAUUAUUAUUAUUUGUAUUUUUUGGGGGCGCGGGGGGUGGGCUGUGGCGGCCGAACAGCUUCGCCCCAAAGGGACCCAGGCCGACUCUCAACAGCGAGGACUUGUUGUUUGUGUCGUCGUCGGGCUCCCCCCCCCUCGGUCGGACAUCCAUGCGACCGUGCCCCUCUUCCGCCGCCGCCGCGGGAUUGAACGUGGUGUCACCGGACUGCGGGCCGCUUCCCCUCGCCUGAAACAUGUCAAGCAAAACCCCUUUGCCCACCGUCAACGAGAAGGCGAGCGAAAGUCGCACGUCUUCUCACGGCAACGGCCGGCAGGAAGUCGGCAGCUCGCGCUCGUCUCGCUCCGGCGUGCGUUCGCGCAGCUCCGAGGAGCCUCAGCAGCCGCACGUGGGGAACUACCGGCUGCUCAAGACCAUCGGCAAGGGCAACUUCGCCAAGGUCAAGCUGGCCCGACACAUCCUCACCGGCAGAGAGGUAGCCAUUAAAAUCAUAGACAAGACACAGCUGAACCCCAACAGCCUUCAGAAGCUCUUCAGAGAAGUGAGAAUAAUGAAGAUCUUGAAUCAUCCCAACGUUGUUAAGCUGUUUGAGGUGAUUGAGACGGAGAGGACGCUCUACCUGGUCAUGGAGUACGCCAGCGGAGGAGAGGUCUUUGACUACCUGGUAGCACAUGGAAGAAUGAAGGAAAAAGAGGCCAGAGCUAAAUUUAGACAGAUUGUAUCAGCGGUGCAGUACUGCCACCAGAAGCACAUCGUCCACAGAGACCUCAAGGCGGAGAACCUGCUGCUGGACGGCGACAUGAACAUCAAGAUCGCCGACUUCGGCUUCAGCAACGAGUUCACGCUGGGCAACAAGCUGGACACCUUCUGCGGCUCGCCGCCCUACGCCGCGCCCGAGCUCUUCCAGGGCAAGAAGUACGACGGGCCCGAGGUGGACGUCUGGAGUCUGGGCGUCAUCCUCUACACGCUCGUCAGCGGGUCGCUGCCCUUUGACGGCCAGAACCUCAAGGAGCUUCGCGAGCGCGUGCUGCGAGGGAAGUACCGCAUCCCCUUCUACAUGUCCACGGACUGCGAGAACCUCCUGAAGCGAUUCCUGGUGCUCAACCCGGCCAAGCGCGGUACUCUCGAGGUGAGAGAGGACACCCAAAACCAAAUCAUGAAGGAUCGAUGGAUCAACGCGGGAUACGAAGACGACGAGCUGAAGCCUUACGUUGAGCCUGAGCUGGACAUCACGGAUCAGAAGAGAAUAGACGUGAUGGUGGGCAUGGGCUACAACUUGGACGAGAUUCAGGAGUCCCUGGCCAAGACCAAGUACGACGAGAUCACCGCCACCUACCUGCUGCUGGGCAGGAAGGCCUCGGAGCCGGAGCCCGGCGAGUCGGCGUCCGGCAGCGACUUGUCGCUCACCAAGCCCAGACCCAACAGCGAGCUCAACGGACAGUCGCCCUCGCACCUGAAAGUCCAGAGGAGCGUGUCGUCCAACCACAAGCAGCGACGCUACAGUGAGCAAGCGGGCCAGAACGCGGGCGCGGCCCACCCCAAGCGCAGUCAGACCGCCGCCGUCGACGACGGGAAGGACGACGGCGGCGUCCAGCUGCGCAAAUCCGGAGCGCCGGGAAGCCGCGGCGCUGCGCCCGCCAGCCCGUUGCUGGGCAACGCCAACAACCCAAACAAGGCCGACAUACCCGACCGCAGGAAAGGCGGCGUCGCCGCCGGACAGACUCAGAACAGCACGGCGUCUGCUGGGAUGACGCGCCGGAACACGUACGUGUGCAGCGAGCGGAACAACGCCGACCGCCUCUCCGUCAUCCCCAACGGGAAGGAGAACAGCGCGGCGGCGUCUCCGGGCGGCCAGCGUAAGUCGGUGGCGUCGGCGCACAGCGUGGCCAACGCGGCCACGCCGGAACGCCUGCGCUUCCCCCGCGGCACGGCCAGCCGCAGCACCUUCCACGGCGGGCAGCUGCGCGACCGCCGCACGGCCACCUACAACGGACCGCCCGCCUCGCCCGCCCUCUCGCACGACGCCUCGCCGCUCUCGCAGGCGCGCGGCCGCGCCGCCAGCAACCUCUUUUCCAAGCUCACCUCCAAGCUCACGCGCAGAAACAUGUCGUUCAGGUUUACCAAAAGGUAGGACCGGUACUGCCUGCGCUGUCGCACGCCGCUAACACGCCGCCCGCACGCUACAUGUUAGCCUCACACAGCUGGCUUCUCGCCGUCUUGCAGGGAAUUGCACAGAAAGUUGCAUUUGCGACUUUUUCUGGCAACUGAAUGUUUUUGGGCUGGAUUUACCCUGCAUGUGUAAUCUGAUAUAAAGUGGACGGCUCCCCGCAUACUUGUCGGAUUUUUAUUUAAAAAAAAUUUUUUUUUCAUUUCUAAUUUAUAUAUACACUUUGGGGGAGGAACCAACCGCAAAAAUACCUCGUGGUGGUUUAUCUUCGCUUCUUCCAGAUUUUGUGGGGGGUUACCAAAAAAAAAAAGUUUUGUUCUGGUAUGUGUCCAAAUGUUGACCACCAAAAAGUAACACCUUAGUUUCAUUAUUCUGCUACAUGAUUGUUAUGGCACUUCACCCAAAUAUGAUAAGUUUGAGGUACAUGAAAUAUGGUGUAUAUAUGCGAAAUUACAGUUGUCAAACAUUUAUCAGGGUCGGAAAUAUCCGGUAUCGCAUCGUCAAAUGCGACGUAAAAUCUUCGGCGUUGCAUUCCUCAAUUCCCAUGGCUACAAUAUGCGAUGCAUGUUUCGAAAGUUUACAGACAAAUAAAACCUUUUUCUGAGCGGUCAGCAGCCCUCAAAACAAAGAUGGGACCGACAAAAAGAGCAUGGCUUGCUAACAGAAAUGACAACUGCACGGCAGGCAGAGGUAAACGGCUACGCGAUCGCCGAUUGGUCAAAGGCGGAGCUGUCAAAUGUUAGGGAACGUCCGCAUUUUGUGACUUGAUCGUUCCGGCCGUAAAGCCGAGUACAAAUUUCUUAAAUGAAUUUGAUGAAAUAAGCACUCUAUUUCAAAAACAGCGCGUCCACAUUGAGCAGUGCCCCCCCCCCCCGCUUUCCGCCGCUGAGUGCUCCGUGCACGGCGUUUUACGACGGCCCCCGGCUGCCGAGCCUCGCAGGCGGAAGCUCUCUUUGCGGCCGGUGUCAAGCAACGCAUUACAAGUCAGCGGUCGUCGCCAUCGGCGAGGGAGGACGAGGGGGAAGGGAGCCAACUGUCCGGCCCCUUCGCGGCCCGCCAGGAUAAUCGGAAACCAGACUCACGAACAAUACGCAGGCUUGCUACAAAAGGAUUUCUGCUUACCCGCAAGGCAAAAUCGCUUUCUGUACACAACAUUACUUAUUCAAAAGAUCAAAGUAUGCCAUAUAUGGAGUAAAGUGUUUUAAAAUUUAGGGUAGAAAAGCAUACAAGUAGACAGGGAUUUAGUACUUUGUGGAACUUUUAUACAAAUUAUUGCCCAAAACGAAAACAUGUUUCGAAAACUUGCUACACAAAUUUCAGCAAUUGUGAUACAAAAAUAAUUUUGUAUAGCAAAAACAUGCUAUACAACAUUUUAGAGUAUUUCGGGUCCUGUUUAUUGUAAAUAUAUGGAAUUCGAGGUCUAUAGACGGGUAACAUAUUUACAUCUUAUUUCAUGUUCUAUACACCUUUAGUGUACCGUUUUUUUUUUUUGUCGUUAUCAAACAUCUUUUUUUUUUAACGUACAAAAUUGCUGUAUUCCUUUAAUUUUGUGAUACAUUUUCACAAAAUGACAUCCAUAGGCUUUGAAUUUAGUUUUUUUUUUUAAAAAACAUUUUAAACUACAAAAUUGUUUUUCGGACAAAAAAAAGUGGAUGUACAUGAUCUUGCGUGUGCCACUAAUGUCGCACCGGUCGGUGCAUGCGGGCAGGGGGCGCAACCUACUGGCACUGGCAUGCUUGUUGUUUCUUCUCCAAGUAGCCGCUGACCCCGGUUGAACGUUUGCACUGCAUCGUGACCCGUCGUUGAAAAACAAAAAUGUCAAAAAUUCCCAAGCCGUGAGCUAGGAAGAUGGUUGUUGUAUGUUGCCAUGGUGACAGGUUGUUACAACCACGGAGAGCUGACAAUCUGCUUGAAAAAAAAAGAGGAGGAAUAAUCUCAAUCGGGUUGGUUUCCAAAAGUCAUCUUUGGCCGUGCUCGGCCCCCCGGUGGCCAAGUGGAGUACAAGCUUAAUGUUUUCACCUCUUCGAUUUUGUGGUAUUUACACAAACACAAGUAGGAAUGAGUGAUAUAAACAAAUGUUUUACAAUUUGAAUUCAUUUUUUUGUUCUGCUAUUUGCUUGAGCAAUUUUUUUCUCUUUUCAGAUGAUGCGAAAACAAGUGCUUCCUCUUGGAAAAGAAAUGUAGUCAGUAAUGAAUGAACACUUCAAAUGUUCAACAAUUCAGCACAACAGAUGUUUACGGCCAAUCAAAAUAUAUCACACGAUCUUGCGCAACAAAAAUAACUUUAAAAUUAAACCGUUUGUGCAUCCUGAUGAUCCUGUGUGUGUGUGCCUUGGCCAACAGGGCGCAGUAUAACACAUGCAUAAUAAAUACACAAAGUCGGCGGUCACAGCACCUCAGUAAACUGCAGUAAAAUAGGUUAUUUUCUGCAGAGAAUAAAGAAUAUACGCCUGUAUUAUAUUGUCUGUAUACCUGUGUUGCUGCACCGUUUGUGUACUGUACUGCGACAUUGACGCUAGUUUUGUUGGGUCGUCUAUGGCGUUUUGCAUUGUGUGUUAGCAUUUAGCUAGCAGGCUUCGGUAACGCAAAGUUGCUCGUUAUCUGCCACCGUCGAGCGCUGGCGACUCGAGGCAAAACGUCCUAUCGACCUCUGACCUCCCCUCGCCGGGGUCACUGUUGACCCAUCUGAGCGGCAGGAAGCAGCCUCCUGGGCCCGGCUCGCGUCCGUCGUUUCCCCGCCUUCGUCCCGACGCCCGCCCGCGGAUUCGGUGGCGUUUUGCCGUCUUUUCCCGUCGGGAUCCAUCUGCGAGCGCUCGUAGCUUGCUCCUAUGCUAGCCUGCUCACGCUGCUAGCGGAAAAUGAAAAUGGGUUAGCUCAAGAGGUUUAAAAGAGAAAUGGUCAUGUCUUUGUAAAACACGUACAAUUGUUUAUACAUGCUGCCAGUCAUCAGAUCAUGUUAUGCUAAUAAUAAAUAUCAUUAUUUUAAAUUGACAUUCUUUUACAAUACAUCCAUUAUAGAAGUUUUUAAUUGUAUGUAUGUAUGAUGUACUCAACCUUAAUUAACCAGUAAUUUAAUGAAUUAAAUAUUUCAAUGUAUAUGUCAAAUUAUUUAUUCCCUAAUAAUAAAUCAUAAUGAAUUUAAUUUAGAGAAAAUUCUUUUGAUUUUCAUUUACUCGUACGUAACUCCAAGAAUGUAGUUUUUUUGUAUUCGUAGUAUAUCAAUGUUUGUUUUAAUACAAUUGUUUAAACUCAUUUAAUCAUCAUUAAGUCACCAAUUAGUUACUAAAAUGACAUUUUGAAAUAUCUACGUUUAGUUUUUUGCGAAUUUACUUCAAAUGUCCUUGAUAAUAAGUGGGUAACUGUAACGUUGUUGAUUUGGGGCUGGAAUGUCGCGUGUACGUGUGCCGACUGAAGAGAAGCGUUGUGUUUUUGCUGUCAACCUUCCAAAACGGGCGCCGACGUUCGGCCGCCGGUCGCAGCUCAGCGGAAAAGCGGGACGACUCGCUUGUCGAUAUUUGCGCAUUUGUCUCGGUCGUCGUGCCGAUUCUUCGCCUUGUCGUCGUCGUCGUCGUUGUUGUUGUUGUUAUGGUGAUGAACACGAGGACGCACAAUCCACAUCCUCUUCUUCUUGUUUUUGUCUUCUUCCUCCUCUUCCCCGUUUUCUUCUCUCGCGUCCCUCAGAGUCUCCACAGAGUUUGAGAGAAACGGGAGACUCGAGGGCUCAAGCCGCCACGUCCCCGGGGAGCCCAAGGACGGCAAGCCCCGCUCGCUGCGCUUCAC